rnacentral:rRNA from 1 species
AGAGUUUGAUCAUGGCUCAGGACGAACGCUGGCGGCGUGCCUAAUACAUGCAAGUCGAGCGGACUAAUGGUUUCCUUCGGGAAACCAUUGGUUAGCGGCGGACGGGUGAGUAACACGUAGGCAACCUGCCCUCAAGACUGGGAUAACUACCGGAAACGGUAGCUAAUACCGGAUAAUUAAAUUCGCUGCAUGGUGGAUUUAUGAAAGGCGGAGCAAUCUGUCACUUGAGGAUGGGCCUGCGGCGCAUUAGCUAGUUGGUGAGGUAACGGCUCACCAAGGCGACGAUGCGUAGCCGACCUGAGAGGGUGAACGGCCACACUGGGACUGAGACACGGCCCAGACUCCUACGGGAGGCAGCAGUAGGGAAUCUUCCGCAAUGGGCGAAAGCCUGACGGAGCAACGCCGCGUGAGUGAUGAAGGUUUUCGGAUCGUAAAGCUCUGUUGCCAGGGAAGAACGUCUCAUAGAGU